AACUCGCCCCUCCCUCCGCAAAGGGUUCGCUAUGGAACGGGUUUUGGGGUGUGCCUCCUUCCUCCUCUCGGUCAGGGCUGCAGAGACGCAAGGAAGUAUCGGACACGGUCAGGACCGUGAACGUGACGCCGGAAUUGGAACUGAAAUGCCUUCGCUUUAAUACGCCUGUUGUUUGACUUGAGGCAACUGCGUUUCCCCCUCUGGGCCUCAGUUUCUCCAUUCCGUUAAGUGAGGACCUUGGACUGUUUCAGCGAAUCUCGUUUUUUUCAGGCGUGGACUCCUUUGAGAAUCCGGAGAGGCUCAGUAACUGACAAGGAAUGAAAAAAACCUAUUGGGACUUCCCUGGUGGCACAGUGGUUAAGAAUUCGCCUGCUAAUGCAGGGGACACGGGUUCGAGCCCUGGUCCGGGAAGAUCCCACAUGCCGCGGAGCAGCUAAGCCCAU